rnacentral:rRNA from 1 species
CGUUUUUUGAUUAUGGUGGAAAAUUUAACCUGCCCACUGAGGUUUUAAAGGGCCGCGGUAUUUUGACCGUGCAAAGGUAGCAUAAUAAUUAGUUUUUUGAUUGAAAGCUGGAAUGAAUGGUUGGACGAGAAAAUAGCUGUCUCUAAUUAAUUUUUAUAGAAUUUUAUUUUUGAGUUAAAAAGCUUAAAUGAUUUUAAAAGACGAGAAGACCCUAUAGAGUUUAAUAUUUUUAUUAAAAAUUUUUGGUUUUAAGGAUUUAAGUUAAAUUUUUAAUUGGAUAUUUUGUUGGGGUGAUGGGAAGAUUAAAUAAACUCUUCUUUUAUUUUUACAUUAAUAGUUGAAUUUUUGAUCCAUUUUUUAUGAUUAUAAGAAUAAAUUACCUUAGGGAUAACAGCGUAAUCUUUUUUGAGAGUUCUUAUCGAAAGGGGGGGUUGCGACCUCGAUGUUGGAUUAAAGUUAAUUUUUGGUGUAGGAGCUAGAAUAUUGAGUCUGUUCGACUUUUAAAACUUUACAUGAUCUGAGUUUAGACCGGCGUGAGCCAGGUUGGUUUCUAUCUUUAUUAAUUUAGAACAUUUUAGUACGAAAGGACCAAGUGUUUAAUAAAUUUAUUUUUGUAUUGAGUUAUAUUAAUGUUACUUUGGCAGAUUAGUGCGAUGGAUUUAGAAUCUUUAUAUGUAAAAGUUUUACAGGUAAUAAUUGUUUAUGUUUGAUUAUUUUUUGUUGUUGGUGAAUAUAUUAAUUUUAGUUGUGUGUGUGUUGGUUGGUGUAGCAUUUUUUACGUUAUUAGAGCGAAAGGUUUUGGGGUAUAUUCAGAUUCGUAAGGG